rnacentral:rRNA from 1 species
UGCAUAUCAAAUAAGCGGAGGAAAAGAAACCAACAGGGAUUGCCUUAGUAACGGCGAGUGAAGCGGCAAAAAGCUCAAAUUUGAAAUCUGGGGUCUUCGACCUCCGAGUUGUAAUUUGAAGAAAGUAUCUUUGGAGAUAGCCUUUUUCUAAGUUCCUUGGAACAGGACUUCAUAGAGGGUGAGAAUCCCGUAUGGAGAAGUGUCUAUUUCUAUGUAAAGUGCUUUCGACGAGUCGAGUUGUUUGGGAAUGCAGCUCUAAGUGGGUGGUAAAUUCCAUCUAAAGCUAAAUAUUGGCGAGAGACCGAUAGCGAACAAGUACAGUGAUGGAAAGAUGAAAAGAACUUUGAAAAGAGAGUGAAAAAGUACGUGAAAUUGUUAAAAGGGAAGGGCUUCAGAUCAGACUUGAUGUUUAGUGAUCCAUCUUCCUUUUUGGUUGGUGCACGCACUUUUCAUUGGGCCAACAUCGAUUUGGAUGGUAGGAUAAUGUCGUUGGGAAUGUAGCUUCAUUCGUGAAGUGUUAUAGACCACGAUGAUACUGCCCAUCUGGAUCGAGGACUGCGUCUUUACGACUAGGAUGUUGGCGUAAUGAUCUGAAGCCGCCCGUCUUGAAACACGGAC